rnacentral:rRNA from 1 species
GAUGAACGCUGGCGGCGUGCCUAAUACAUGCAAGUCGAGCGAACGGACGAGAAGCUUGCUUCUCUGAUGUUAGCGGCGGACGGGUGAGUAACACGUGGAUAACCUACCUAUAAGACUGGGAUAACUUCGGGAAACCGGAGCUAAUACCGGAUAAUAUUUUGAACCGCAUGGUUCAAAAGUGAAAGACGGUCUUGCUGUCACUUAUAGAUGGAUCCGCGCUGCAUUAGCUAGUUGGUAAGGUAACGGCUUACCAAGGCAACGAUGCAUAGCCGACCUGAGAGGGUGACCGGCCACACUGGAACUGAGACACGGUCCAGACGCCUACGGGAGGCAGCAGUAGGGAAUCUUCCGCAAAGGGCGAAAGCCUGACGGAGCAACGCCGCGUGAGUGAUGAAGGUCUUCGGAUCGUAAAACUCUGUUAUUAGGGAAGAACAUAUGUGUAAGAAACUGUGCACAUCUUGACGGUACCUAAUCAGAAAGCCACGGCUAACUACGUG